rnacentral:rRNA from 1 species
ACCAGCACGUUAUGGUGGGCACUCUAAGGAGACUGUCGGUGACAAACCGGAGGAAGGUGGGGAGUGACGUCAAGUCAUCAUGGCCCUUACGGCCUGGGCUACACACGUGCUACAAUGGUCGGUACAAAGGGUUGCCAAGCCGCGAGGUGGAGCUAAUCCCAUAAAACCGAUCGUAGUCCGGAUCGCAGUCUGCAACUCGACUGCGUGAAGUCGGAAUCGCUAGUAAUCGUGAAUCAGAAUGUCACGGUGAAUACGUUCCCGGGCCUU